rnacentral:rRNA from 1 species
AGUUUGAUCCUGGCUCAGAACGAACGCUGGCGGCAUGCCUAACACAUGCAAGUCGAACGAGACCUUCGGGUCUAGUGGCGCACGGGUGCGUAACGCGUGGGAACCUGCCUUUAGGUUCGGAAUAACAGUGAGAAAUUACUGCUAAUACCGGAUAAUGUCUUCGGACCAAAGAUUUAUCGCCUUUAGAUGGGCCCGCGUUGGAUUAGCUAGUUGGUAGGGUAAAGGCCUACCAAGGCGACGAUCCAUAGCUGGUCUGAGAGGAUGAUCAGCCACACUGGGACUGAGACACGGCCCAGACUCCUACGGGAGGCAGCAGUGGGGAAUAUUGGACAAUGGGCGAAAGCCUGAUCCAGCAAUGCCGCGUGAGUGAUGAAGGCCUUAGGGUUGUAAAGCUCUUUUACUGGGGAUGAUAAUGACAGUACCCAGAGAAUAAGCUCCGGCUAACUCCGUGCCAGCAGCCGCGGUAAUACGGAGGGAGCUAGCGUUGUUCGGAAUUACUGGGCGUAAAGCGCACGUAGGCGGCUUUUUAAGUCAGGGGUGAAAUCCCGGGGCUCAACCCCGGAACUGCCCUUGAAACUGGGAAGCUAGAAUCUUGGAGAGGCGAGUGGAAUUCCGAGUGUAG